CCCUAGUAACGGCGAGUGAAGCGGGAAGAGCUCAAAUUUGAAAUCUGGCAGUCUUCGAUUGUCCGAGUUGUAAUCUAUAGAGGCGUUUUCCGUGCCGGACCGUGUCCAAGUCUCCUGGAAAGGAGUAUCAAAGAGGGUGAUAAUCCCGUACUUAACACGACCACCGGUGCUCUGUGAUACGUCUUCUACGAGUCGAGUUGUUUGGGAAUGCAGCUCAAAAUGGGUGGUGAAUUCCAUCUAAAGCUAAAUAUUGGCGAGAGACCGAUAGCGAACAAGUACCGUGAGGGAAAGAUGAAAAGCACUUUGGAAAGAGAGUUAAACAGUACGUGAAAUUGUUGAAAGGGAAACGAUUGAAGUCAGUCGUGUUCUUUGGAUUCAGCCAGUUCUGCUGGUCUACUUCCUUGGAACGGGUCAACAUCAGUUUUGUCCGGUGGAUAAAGGUAGUAGGAAUGUGACUUCUCCGGAAGUGUUAUAGCCUAUUAUCACAUACACUGGGUGAGACUGAGGACUGCAGCUCGCCUUUAUGGCCGGCCUUCGGGCACGUUCGAGCUUAGGAUGUUGACAUAAUGGCUUUAAACGACCCGUCUUGA
rnacentral:rRNA from 1 species